UUCCUGCAGUUUUCUCCACAUCCUCUCCUUGUCUGGUUAUUCAGGAUGAAUACAUGCAUCCAGUGUAAAUGCUGACCUGAAAAGUAAGUCACAUGCUGGCCUUGAGUAGGCUGCGUGAUUAUGUGGAGCUUGCAUGGCAAUACUGCCCCAUGGUGAUGACAAUUCAGUCAGAGAGCUGGACCUCAGACAAAUGUCCAGCUGGAUGGAUAAAUGCUGAAGGAAGUCUGCCAGAAAAACAACUGUCAGAACAGGCUUUUCUGUAAAGAGAAAAGGUUUGUCUGAUUUAGGUCGUAGUUAUCUGAGAAGACACCUUUUCUUCCCUAUGUAAUACUGCAGCUGUUGAAAGAACCUGCCAAGGGAGCAAUCUCUGGAUUGAACCACCUCAAGUCCGUCAUCUGUGUAACUGGAUUCCUCUGCUGAUCAACUGGACACAUCACAAUAGUGUUUCUGAAAACAAAC